rnacentral:lncRNA from 1 species
AUGUUUCUGUUGGGAGCUGGGACCAUUCCAGGGGACACAGACUUGCCCUCUGCUGCAAGGGGACCUCAGCUUCCAGGGGACACAGACUUGCCCUCUGCUGCAAGGGGACCACAGCUUCCAGGGGACACGGACUUGCCCUCUGCUGCAAGGGGACCUCAGCUUCCAGGGGACACAGACUUGCCCUCUGCUGCAAGGGGACCUCAGCUUCCAGGGGACACGGAUUUGCCCUCUGCUGCAAGGGGACCUCAGCUUCCAGGGGACACAGACUUGCCCUCUGCUGCAAGGGGACCUCAGCUUCCAGGGGACACGGACUUGCCCUCUGCUGCAAGGGGACCUCAGCUUCCAGGGGACACAGACUUGCCCUCUGCUGCAAGGGGACCACAGCUUCCAGGGGACACGGACUUGCCCUCUGCUGCAAGGGGACCUCAGCUUCCAGGGGACACAGACUUGCCCUCUGCUGCAAGGGGACCUCAGCUUCCAGGGGACACGGACUUGCCCUCUGCUGCAAGGGGACCUCAGCUUCCAGGGGACACGGACUUGCCCUCUGCUGCAAGGGGACCUCAGCUUCCAGGGGACACAGACUUGCCCUCUGCUGCAAGGGGACCGCAGCUUCCAGGGGACACAGAUUUGCCCUCUGCUGCAAGGGGACCGCAGCUUCCAGGGGACACAGAUUUGCCCUCUGCUGCAAGGGGACCUCAGCUUCCAGGGGACACAAAUUUGCCCUCUGCUGCAAGGGGACCUCAGCUUCCAGCGGACACGGACUUGCCCCCUGCUGCAAGGGGACCGCAGCUUCCAGGGGACACGGAUUUGCCCUCUGCUGCAAGGGGACCUCAGCUUCCAGGGGACACGGACUUGCCCUGUGCUGCAAGGGGACCUCAGCUUUCAGGGGACACGGACUUGCCCUGUGCUGCAAGGGGACCUCAGCUUCCAGGGGACAAGGACUUGCCCUGUGCUGCAAGGGGACCUCAGCUUCCAGGAGACACGGACUUGCCCUGUGCUGCAAGGGGACCUCAGCUUCCAGGGGACACGAACUUGCCCUCUGCUGCAAGGGGACCUCAGCUUCAGAGAGAAGUUGGAGCAGCAGGACCACAGAGACUCCCACACUGCCCUUCAAAUAAUUCAAGUCUCACCGUUUGCUUACACAUCCCAAGUAGAGCCAUGGAGGCCUCUUCUAAACCUUCCUCAAAAGAAAGUAAGCCAGGCAGCAGGCUGGAGGACACUGGUGGCUGGUUUCCCCGGCAACUAUCAUUCCUCCAUUGGCUUUUCAAUAUUAGUUUGAAAAGCGAAUGGAAGGCUCUUUCUGCAGAGAGCUCAAUCAGCUAG